rnacentral:rRNA from 1 species
UAGGGAAUCUUCGGCAAUGGGGGCAACCCUGACCGAGCAACGCCGCGUGAGUGAAGAAGGUUUUCGGAUCGUAAAGCUCUGUUGUAAGAGAAGAACGUGUGUGAGAGUGGAAAGUUCACACAGUGACGGUAACUUACCAAAAAGGGACGGCUAACUACGUGUCAG